UACGUAGGGUGCGAGCGUUGUCCGGAAUUAUUGGGCGUAAAGAGCUCGUAGGCGGCUUGUCGCGUCGGAUGUGAAAGCCCGGGGCUUAACUCCGGGUCUGCAUUCGAUACGGGCAGGCUUGAGUUCGGUAGGGGAGAUCGGAAUUCCUGGUGUGAGCGGUGGAAAUACGGCAGAUAUCAGGAGGAACACCGGUGGCGAAGGCGGCCCCCUGGUUCGGAGUACGUGACGCUGAUACGCGAAAGCGUGG
rnacentral:rRNA from 1 species